rnacentral:rRNA from 1 species
CCUACGGGAGGCUGCAGUGGGGAAUAUUGCACAAUGGGCGCAAGCCUGAUGCAGCCAUGCCGCGUGUGUGAAGAAGGCCUUCGGGUUGUAAAGCACUUUCAGCGGGGAGGAAGGCGUUAAGGUUAAUAACCUUGGCGAUUGACGUUACCCGCAGAAGAAGCACCGGCUAACUCCGUGCCAGCAGCCGCGGUAAUACGGAGGGUGCAAGCGUUAAUCGGAAUUACAGGGCGUAAAGCGCACGCAGGCGGUCCGUCAAGUCGGAUGUGAAAUCCCCGGGCUCAACCUGGGAACUGCAUUCGAAACUGGCAGGCUAGAGUCUUGUAGAGGGGGGUAGAAUUCCAGGUGUAGCGGUGAAAUGCGUAGAGAUCUGGAGGAAUACCGGUGGCGAAGGCGGCCCCCUGGACAAAGACUGACGCUCAGGUGCGAAAGCGUGGGGAGCAAACAGGAUUAGAUACCCGGGUAGUC